rnacentral:lncRNA from 1 species
CUGUAAUUAAGUGGAUGUUGUUUUUGGUAUGUGUCUGACCCGAGUCCGGAGCCUGUAAUUAAGUGGAUGUUGUUUUUGGUAUGUGCCUGACCCGAGUCAGGAGCCUGUAAUUAAGUGGAUGUUGUUUUUGGUAUGUGUCUGACCCGAGUCAGGAGCCUGUAAUUAAGUGGAUGUUGUUUUUGGUAUGUGUCUGACCCCAGUCAGGAGCC